UGGAAUAUUGAUACACGAAUUGGGCUGAAGUAGUGCUCUGAUUGUCUCUAUAUCUCCCUAAAACAAGCUGCCUUUUGAUGACCAGGAUGAAUUGAGUGAGAACAUGACAGACAGAGGCAGACAGUU
ensembl:snoRNA